rnacentral:lncRNA from 1 species
CUGAGAAAAUGUGUCAAAUACAUUUUCAAAGAAGGUUUAGAUUCCAGAUUAGAAGAUGCCUUGCAGUUGGUUGAGGGACAAGAAGAUAGCCUAAAGAUGUUACCAUAUUAUCUUUACAUAGACAGUUUAAUUCAAUCAAAAAAAUAUGAAGAAGUAGCAGAAUUUUUGUUUGAAAAGCAGUUAGAUGAAACUGUGUUAGAACAAUGUUGUCGAUACAUUAUUCUAAAAUUUUCAACCCAUUUGGACUCCGGUGCUCAUGAAAUUAUAGACGCUGUCAUCAAAAUACUCCAAAAUUCGAAAGAAAAUUAGAAAAGACAAAUGCAGCCGCAGGCAUGAAUGGUUUCAACAAUUACAUAGAGAAAGCCCUGGUUUGCAAAAGUAUUAGUACAAUGAAGAGUGACUAUAAUUUUGAAGUUGAACUAAGUAGAUUACACGAAGACAGUUUGCGCAAAUUAGUCAUUCAGGAUUUUUAUAAAUCUAAUUUCAAAGGAAAUGAAUCAGAAGUAAUGGAUGCCACCGGUCCAUUUCAGAGAAUAUUAAAAUAAAUAUUUUAAUAAGUUAUGAAAUUUUGAUUCGGUCUAUAAACCAGUAUUUUCCUGGAGAAAUGACUGAUCUACUUCGAAAGGUGGUCUUACUGGCUGGCUUAAGUAUGGCUCACUCAUAUUCUAAGAAACUUUUUCUUUAAGUGUUAAAUCAUAUAGGCACUUGUCAAUGCUCUUUUAUUUUAUUUUUCAAACCAAGACUUCGAAGCUGUUUUAGAGUAGAUUCUUAGCCUUGAAUCAGAUGAUCAUCUCUGAUUUUCUCAAUCACCCCGAAUUUCUCCGGAAAAUUGAAUUUGUUUCUUGAGUGCCCAGUCUGUCCAGUUUUUGGGAGAAAAUUAAGAGCUCCCGCUCGUACCCAAUCUGAUCAAGAUGAACAGAUCAUUUUCGGGAUCAGCACUAAAAAUUUUCUCAGUGACAAAUGCUGAGUUGAUUGGAAGUUGAACUUCCUUGACCAAUGUCGUUUUUUAAGGAGUGAAAUGUUUAGAUCUUGAGGCAAAAUAAAGACAAUCUGAAUAAAAUCCAGAGGGGAGAAU